UACUUCAAGGUUUUCCUUAGGGGGGUCCUGAAAUUAUAUAGAGCUCUAAUAAGACUGCGUAGCGAAGAUACACCUCCAGAGAUAAGGAAUAGCAGAAGGUUUUACCCAUAUUUUAAGGAUUGUGUUGGAGCAAUAGAUGGUACACAUGUUCGUGCAUCUGUGCCACCUGAAAUACAAGGAAGAUUUCGUGGUCGCAAAGAUGGAACCACGCAAAAUGUGUUAGCUGCCAUUAGUUUUGACUUAAAGUUCACUUAUGUGUUGGCUGGAUGGGAAGGCAGUGCACAUGAUUCACGUGUAUUAAAUGAUGCAUUUGCUAGGCCAGGGGGAUUUUCAAUUCCCAAUGGUAAAUUUUAUCUUGGUGAUGCUGGGUAUGGUAAUAAAAAUGGAAUAUUGUCACCGUAUUGGAGUGUACGAUAUCACUUGAAAGAGUUUAGUGAUCGUCCUCCUGAGAAUGCGCAAGAAUUGUUCAACCUCCGACACUCUUCAUUGAGAACUACCAUUGAGCGAGGGUUUGGAGUGGUGAAAAAACGUUUUCGAGUGUUGGAUGCAGAACCAUAUUGGUCUUUCCCAACCCAAGUGAAAGUAGUGUUAGCGUGUUGUAU